GCCCCCGUAGCUCAGCUGGAUAGAGCGUCCCCCUCCUAAGGGGAAGGUCAGCCGUUCGAAUCGGCUCGGGGGCACCA
rnacentral:tRNA from 1 species